rnacentral:rRNA from 1 species
AAUAGCCUAACGGCUGAACCAGCAACUUGGAAGAAUGUAUAGCGAAAGCUAAUUGUUUUAAUUAAAGCAAUCUCGAUUUUUAUCGAAUAAAGUUCUAGGUAAAAUUAUGAUAAUGACAUUUUUUACCUAUUAGUCUUGUCCAAAAUACGUGCCAGCAGUCGCGGUAAUACGUAUGAGACUAGUGUUAUUCAUCUUUAAUAGGUUUAAAGGGUACCUAGACGGUAAAUUAAGCCUUAAUCGGAACUGAUUUACUAGAGUUACUACUGAGGGAGUUUUAAUGUACUAGAGGUGUAGAGAUAAAAUUCAAUUAUACCUUUUUUCUAACGAAAAUCUUCGGCACAGAUACAGGUGAAAACGUCUCCUUAUCAGAUAACUGACGUUGAGGGACGAAGGCUUUUUACAGCGAACAGGAUUAGAGACCCUGGUAGUCAAAGCAGAAAAUGAUGAGUGUCAUAGAAUAGAUAAUUGUUUGUUCUAUAAAUGAAAGUGUAAACACUCCACCUCAAGAGUAAUUUGGCAACAUUGGAACUGAAGUCAUUAGACCGUGUCUGAAACCAGUAGUGAAGUAUGUUGUUUAAUUUGAUAAUCCGCAAAAAACCUUACCACAACUUGAAUGUUUAUAUUUAAACAAACACAAGUGUUGCACGGCUGUCUUCAGUUAAUGUCGUGAGACUAUGGUUAGUUCCAGUAAAUUAACGCAAACCCUUAUUCAUGUUUACAACUUGAAUAGUUCUCCAUUAUAUAGGAUAAGAUAACAGGGAUUAAGACAAGUCAUCAUGGCCUUAAUGUUGUGGGCUAUAGACGUGCCACGUAAGCCUUUACAAAAGGAUGUGAAAUUGAGAAAUUGAGCUAAUCCCACAAAAUUGGCUAUACAUUUAAU